UCACUACAAUAACAGAUAGGGGCCGGUUAUAGAAUUUGGAUCCCUGCUAAAUCUUCAUAUUCAAAUUCAGCGGGGCCUCAACGUCAACAAAUCUCCGGCGAAGUUUCAAGAAUCCUUCUUCCCUCUUGUAAUCCGAUUCCACGGAUUGAAGCGCAAUCUUUUUCUUGAUUGAUCCGUUGAUCACAAGCUAUUCGAUGGAGGUUUUCCAAUCCGAGAUCCACCAGGUGUUUGUGAAAUUGCUAGAUGGAAAGCACGGAAUCUUGAAUUUCAACGCACCGUCAAUCUCCGUCGCUGCCCUCAAACACCGUAUCCAGACUGUGACCUCCAUCCCCUCCCAUCUCCAACUCCUAUUAAACAACUCCCAUAUACUCCAUGACCACCAAACCCUCACUCUUUCUCAAUCCCUCGAGAAUUCCCCGUUUCCGGAAACCCUUGAUCAUGAUUCCAAUAGUCAAUUAGCCCAAGGUCAAGAUUUUACCCAAUUUCGUUUUGUGGGUUCGGCUGUAAAACCGUUAGGUUUUGAUGGGUUGGGGAAGUUUCCUGUUGUUGUGCAUUUGUUGCUGAGGCUUAGGGGUGGGAAAGGGGGGUUUGGGUCGUUGCUGAGAGGCGCGGCAACGAAGGCCGGUCAGAAGAAAACGAACAAUUUUGAUGCUUGUAGGGAUAUGAGUGGGCGGAGGCUGAGGCACGUGAACGCGGAGAAGAAGCUGGAAGAGUGGAGAGCAGACGCGGAGGAAAGGCAGUUGGAAAAGAUGGCUGAGGAGUUCAUAAAGAAGAAGGCCAAAGAGGCCGUGAAGAGUGGGAAGAGCAAUGGAAGUGAUAGUUCUGAGAAGUACGUAGCAAAGUACAGAGAGGAUUCAGCUAAGUGUAUGGAGGAGGUGGAAAGGUCGGUCAGAGAGUCAGUUCAAGGUUUGAUGAGCUCGAAGAGAAAACAUAAUGCUGUGGGGAGUGAGUCUGCAUCCAAGCGAUUGAAGAUAUGGUUGGGAAAGAGAAAAUUGGGUGAUAGUGACAGUGAAGACCAGGAUGAUGAUGAUGAUAUUGAUGAAGAAGAAGAGGAGGAGGAGAAUGAGAAAUCUGUUAUCAUAGAUAAUGGGAGUCGCUCGGAUUCAAGUAGAGAAACAGAGGCAAGUUCUGGUUCAAUUACUGGUGGGAAACUUGAUUCUGGAUCUCUUGGCCGAAGUUCCUCUGAGAGUGGCUCAGGGGAAGAAGACAAUGUUGCUAAGGACAUCUUAAAAUCAGAUAAAUAUCUGGAUGGAUGUGGUUUGAAUGGUGAUGAUAAAAAUAGUAAUAAUCAUGACGUGGAGAGUCUGGAAGAAAAUAGAGACCACAAUGAAGUUGUGUCAAAUGUGCCUCACAAAUCUCACUCAAGCAAGGUGGAUGAAAUAGUUACUUUGCAACCUGGCAUCUCUCGUCCAGUGGAUGAAGUUGCUUCUGUUGCAGAAGUGAGGAAUAGUCUUGUACCCAAGCCACUUCAGGAAGAACCAACAUCUAUGAGUGCAAAUCUUCAGAACUUGGACAAGCCCCUUAACUUUGAUGAAUAUCAUUCAGCAACAGAGUUGGAGGUUCUUGGCUUGGACCGGUUAAAAUCAGAACUUCAAGCCCGCGGAUUGAAGUGUGGAGGUACUCUGCAAGAACGUGCGGCCAGGCUCUUCCUGCUCAAAACCACACCAUUAGAGAUGCUUCCAAAGAAGCUGUUUGCCAAGAAAUGAGAUGUCUAGUAUGCCUGAUCUAAUUCGGUUUUUCGGUGGAACUAACCUUACAAUAUGUGAAAUAGAGAUUGAAGCUUUUCCUAGAAGCUACGGCACGUAAUAAUUUUGUUGCGGCGGUUCAGGCACGUAGCAAUCUGGAGAUAGAUAUUGAGAUGUAUGCACAUUUGACCAACUAUGUCUACCGAUUGCGUGUCUCUUUGUGCUAUACUCAAAGACCUUCUACUCUAACUUCUUAUCUGACUGUGGGAUGUGGACGGAACAUUAUAUUGUAGUGCAAGAUUUUCAGGGGCCAUUUUGUUGUACUGGUGCUCGUUCACGUGUG